UACAGAGGGUGCGAGCGUUGUCCGGAAUCACUGGGCGUAAAGGGCGCGUAGGUGGCGCGGCAAGUCCAUGGUGAAAGCUCGAUGCUCAACAUCGAGUCGGCCACGGAGACUGCGGGGCUCGAGCACUGUAGGGGCAGAUGGAAUUCCGGGUGUAGCGGUGGAAUGCGUAGAGAUCCGGAAGAACACCGGUGGCGAAGGCGGUCUGCUGGGCAGUUGCUGACACUGAGGCGCGACAGCGUGGGGAGCAAACAGG
rnacentral:rRNA from 1 species